UCUCUCUCUCUCUUGUUCAUCUAACAUUCUAAAACCCUAGCCGCCGCUUUACUCAUUCUCUCUCGCUCUCAUCAGUCGUGGGGGCCUUCUCCAAUCGAAAGGUCGUCCCUCUCUCCAUCUUCUAGCAUUCUGUCGGCAGCAUACUCGAUGGGGACCGGCCUCAUCAUCAGUCCCUCUCUCGCUCUCAUCAGUCGUGGGGACCGGCCUGCCUGCUGUUGCCAAUGACACGGCUGGGCAGAAUACUCGAUGGAAGGUUACCCACAGAUUUGCAGCGGGUCCCAAAGCAGUGGAUGCCGGUAGCUAUCAGGGAGAUCUAGCAGAUCGCUCUGUCUGGGUUUUCUUCAUCCGUGGAUAUGUUUUUUUUUUUCUCUAUUUUUCUAUUCUUUCUUUGGUGAUUUUGAGUUCUUUUUUUUAAAGAGGAUGUUUGAAUGUGUAAGAAGUAUUCAGUUGUGAUGGGUUUUAGAGCUUCAGCUUGUCAAGUACUGGUUUACUGGUUUUUGUCUACCAGGCUUAUUUUUAUUGAUUGAUGCAUUGAUAGCAUUUUGCAAA